CCAGCGGCAAGAUGGCGGCUGUGCAGCCGGAGUUCGAGCCGCCCCCGUUCUCGGUGAAGAGGCUGAGAGCUGCGAACCCGGCCCCUGCAGCAGACUUGUGAGGAACACAAUAGAUCAUAGAAUAAAGGAGACAGUAGCUAUGUGGAUCCAGAAUUGACUGAGCAACAGGAAGAGAAUGGUCAACAGAUGUUUUUUCAGAAAACCCCAUCUGGUGAAGGUCUGUUUCCAACAGAUGUUAUCUGUCAUGACUGCAUCAUUUCUUCAGAAUGGGAAAGCUUCAAUCCACCAGCCAGGUUUCAUUCUGGGAUCUAACUUGUCUGGGAUCUUACUGUCAGCUGGAUUCCGAACAACAUCAAGAUCUAACAGACUCACUCAAAUCACCAGGACCUGAAUAUCAUUGGGCUUCAACUGUGAAAGGAAAAGGCCUUCCCAAAGUGAGGCUGGAACACGAACAUUGAAGUUGUGAGCUCUAAUGCAGUGAUGGCAACUCCACCUCUGAGCUAUCAGCUGUGAGGUCACUUCAAACUCAUAGUUUUUGGAAUAAUGAAUGUGGCCAACUGUCUGAUUUCUAAGACCUGAUUGUGAUCCUGAAAACUUAGUAAAAAGGCUUUUGGAAAGGCAGGUGGUAACCUGAAACCACAUGUAGCAUCAAGACCUGACAGAUGCACAAUAUUCAUCAGGAGCAGAAUAUCACAGGCCUUUGAACAUGGAAGGACAAAGCACUGUACACAAUGGCGAGAAACCAUUCACGUGUUCUGUGUGUGCACGAGGGUUCAGCCAGUCAUCUGGCUUGUCAAAACAUAAAUGCAGCCAUACUGGGGAGAAACCGUGGAAAUGCGGUGACUGUGGGAAAGGAUUCAUUUCCCCAUCGAAACUGGAAACUCAUCGACGCAGACACACCGGUGAGAGGCCAUUCACCUGCUCCAUUUGUGGGAGGGGAUUCACGCAGUCAGCGAACUUACUGACCCACCGGCAAGUUCACACUGGGGAGAGGCCAUUCACUUGUUCCGAGUGUGGGAAGGGAUUCGCUGAUUCAUCCAGCUUCCUGAGGCACCGGCAGGUUCACAGUGGGGAGAGGCCAUUCAACUGUUCUGAGUGUGGCAAGAGAUUCAUUCAGUCAUCCGACCUGCUGAGACACCAGCGAGUUCACACUGGGGAGAGACCUUUCAAAUGUCCAGACUGCGCAAAGUGCUUUAAAAGUUCCAGGGAACUGACAUGUCAUCUACGUGUUCACACUGAGGAGAGACCUUUUAAAUGUCCCGACUGUGAGAAGUGCUUUAAAGGCUCCAGGGAACUGAUGCUCCAUCAACGCAUUCAUACUGAUGAGAGACCAUUCAGGUGCUCUCACUGUGGGACUGGGUUCAAGCGGUCAUCACACCUCACUGAACAUCAGCGAGUUCAUACUGGAGAGAGGCCAUUCACCUGCCUUGCAUGUGGGAAGGGAUUCACUCAGUCAUCCAACCUGCUGACACACCAGCGAGUUCACAAAUAACUGCAAUGAUUGAAUGUUGCAGUUUGUCACAUCCAGAACUGAACUGUCUUCAAUGGGACCUAUUUUUAUUAAACGUCAGGCCACUUUUAGGUUUUAAUAUCCUGGAUAAAGGAUGGAACUUGGAUGCAGUAACCUAUUUAUCUGAGAUUCCCCCUACCGGCUCUGCUAUAUCCUCCAGGGCACCUCCAGGCAGUGGAUGGAACUUGGGUGCAGUAACCUAUUUAUGUGAGAUCACCCCUACUGGCUCUGCUAUAUCCUCCAGGGCACCUCCAGGCAGUGGGUAUUUGUAACCAGGAAAAACAAACCAAAUCAGAAUCUGACAGCCUCUCAAUAAAUCAUUAACUGAAAGUCAUCACAUGUUGAACAUGGAGGUAAAAAAUGCCUUUCACAAUGGAGAGAAACCAUUCACGUGUUCUGUGUGUGGGGGAGGUUUAAGCCAAUCAUCGGAAUUGUUCCAGCAUAACUGCAAUCACAGUGAGGAGAAACCCUGGAAGUGCAGGGACUGUGGGAAGGGAUUCAUUACCCCCUCAAGGCUGGAAACUCAUUGGCGAAGUCACACUGGAGACAGACCCUUCACUUGCUCCAAAUGUGGGAAGGGGUUCCCUUACUCAUCCAGCCUGCUGAGACACCAGCGCAUUCACAAUGGGGAGAGACCAUUCGCCUGCUCCGCCUGUGGGAAGGGGUUCAGUGACUCCUCCAACCUACUUUCACACCAGCUCGUUCAUUCUGGCGAGAGGCCAUUCACCUGCUCCAUAUGUGGGAAAGGAUUCGCUCGGUUAACCAACCUGCGGACACACCAGCGAGUUCACAUGGAGAAGAAGCCAUAUCCUUGCUCUGUGUGUGGGAUGCGGUUCGCUCAAUUGUGGCAUCUGCUGAAACACCAACGGGUUCGCAAGGGAUCACAGAGGUUGGAUUCUACUGUUGCCACUGCUGUAAGUCACACCCAGGAGUGAACUCUGUUCAUUCUCACAGUGGGUGAUGCGAAAGACUUUCUUUCUGUCAGCCUGAUCACCCAGCUUCCAGUAAACCUGAUGCUCUUUGAGCCUGGGAGUGUACACUUUCAGCGAAAUAAAAAGUGCUUAUUUCAUCCUGGAUAA